ensembl:lncRNA
GUUACUAAUUUUGUAGUUCCAGUUACUAUCAUAGACAGACAAACUAUCAUACUUAGGGGGUCGUCUAAUCAUUAGGAUAACAUCUUAGUUAUGCUGUUAUAAGCCGAGGCUGCUUGGGUCCAGAAACAUGAUCCCCUGACAGGCCUCUGUCACCCCACUGGGUCAUGGUUUCCUCUCCUCUCCUCUCCUCUCCUCUCCUCUCCUCUCCUCUCCUCUCCUCUCCUCUCCCUGUUAAAGGGGAGUUUUUCCUUGCCACUGUUGCUUGUCUGGGGUCAGGCCCUGGGAUUCUGGAAAGCGCCUUGGAACAAUUUUUAUUGUAUAAGACGCUAUAUAAAUAAAGAUUGAUUUGAAUUGAUUUGAUGCGCGACUAUAAGCAUCUUAUUAGAUUACGUACCGCUUUAAUUCUACCUUACUAGAGUCGGUGCAUUUCAAAUGCAAAUUUAAGGUACUGUAGGAGUGAUAUUAAUAUAACGCAGACUGAUGGCUUGAAUUGAUUUCUUAAGGGAGUGACGAUGAUAUAAGUAAGAUGAUCCAAUGCCGGAUGGAGAAGGACCACCUCUUCUCCGGGAAGAGGUUUUCUGCUGCAGCAGGAUGAGAGUGGGUGCUGGGAAAAUGUUAAGGACUGUAUUUUAUUGCUGUAACAUGGAAUCUGGUGGGAUCACAAUCAGAAAUUACACUAUCAUCAGAAACUACACUUCUGCAAUUUGUUUAUGUCCUUCUUCCAAUUUUUAGAGUUGUGUGGAAGGAAAUUGGCCUGACUGGAAUGCUGACUCCAGCACGAGUAGCAAAAAAGUGGGAGAACCUUAAAAAAAACAAGGAGCUUCAGAGACCACCAACAGGAUCUGGCACUGAAUCUGGGGAUGAGGCAAUAGGUGGCAGGCCCUCGAUUUGGCCCCCAUGCCUCAUUGCCUCAGCCUGGGGGGAGAGCCAUUCUAAGUCAGGCUCCCCAUAUUCAGUCCCAGAUAGACCUGAUGGAGAGUCAGGGACAGAGGAGGAGGAACCAGGGCCAGCACCACGCAAGCGCCAGCGGUGCGAUAGGGUCCUGAUAGGAUCCUGGAGCUGCUGGAGAGGGCCGAGGAAAGGGCAACAAGAGAGGAAGCCAGGGAACAGACACUUUUAAAUCGGUUACAGAAACUGGUAGAUAAAAUGCAAAAAAGAAUAUAGUGUGUAGUGUCCGAAAGCUAACUUUGAAUUGAGUGUGCUACGUAGUUCACUCAAUCCAUGUCCCCCAUGUAGUGAGUAGUGAAUAGGGAACGAGUGUGUGGUUUCGGAAACAGCCUUAACUUUCGAACACUACGGCGCACAUAAAAUGAUGUCAUGGUGUCACAUAAUAAUUACGAAACGCUCGCCAGUAAAAGUGGCCAGGUCCAUUUAAUUAUUUUAACCCAUCCGAAACAGCCAAACACAUUCAGCGGUCGCUUCUUUGGAAAUGCAAUAUUUUACCCUAUUAUUAUCUUUAUAUAAUAAUAUUCAAAUAUUAAUGUCAAUUAAAUAAAAUAACAGUUCCUUAUUAUCUAAAAUAAUUAGUGUCCAGUGACAUUUUCGCGCCAUGACAUGAUGGUACAUUCCCAAGUCAUAUUCCACUGUACUGAAAACAUUUCAAUAAAGGAAUUUUUCAUCACGAAUUGGCUCCACAAGUACUUUUCAUCGUCUUAAAUAUUAUUUUACUGCUAUCCCGUCGUCUGGUGAGGAACAGACGACUCCGAAGGACAAUUUUGGCUCUAAGAUCCAAAUGUCAAACUGUAAGUGAGGGAAGGGGGUAAACAGUGAAGGUAGAUUGAUUUCCACAUUUAUGUUGUGAUCUUUUAACCUUGACACGGUUAUAUUUCAAAGUCUUGUAGUUCUAACAAGCCUCGAUAGAUUUGGACUGGGGCUGCUGGCAGGCAUUGUGCUCCUUGAGCGGAGCAGCAAAUCGCUAAUAGAUUGAUUAAAAAAAUAAUUUAAAAAAAACAUCAUUUUAUACCGACGUGUCUCGACUAACUCGCAAUCAUCGGUUUGAGGACGUUAAAUUAACCAGCACAACGUAAAACGAGCUAAAGCGCCGACUGGUCCGC